rnacentral:rRNA from 1 species
GGGACACGUGGUAUCCUGUCUGAAUAUGGGGGGACCAUCCUCCAAGGCUAAAUACUCCUGACUGACCGAUAGUGAACCAGUACCGUGAGGGAAAGGCGAAAAGAACCCCGGCGAGGGGAGUGAAAAAGAACCUGAAACCGUGUACGUACAAGCAGUGGGAGCCUCUUAAUGGGGUGACUGCGUACCUUUUGUAUAAUGGGUCAGCGACUUAUAUUCUGUAGCAAGGUUAACCGAAUAGGGGAGCCGAAGGGAAACCGAGUCUUAACUGGGCGUUAAGUUGCAGGGUAUAGACCCGAAACCCGGUGAUCUAGCCAUGGGCAGGUUGAAGGUUGGGUAACACUAACUGGAGGACCGAACCGACUAAUGUUGAAAAAUUAGCGGAUGACUUGUGGCUGGGGGUGAAAGGCCAAUCAAACCGGGAGAUAGCUGGUUCUCCCCGAAAGCUAUUUAGGUAGCGCCUCGUGAAUUCAUCUCCGGGGGUAGAGCACUGUUUCGGCAAGGGGGUCAUCCCGACUUACCAACCCGAUGCAAACUGCGAAUACCGGAGAAUGUUAUCACGGGAGACACACGGCGGGUGCUAACGUCCGUCGUGAAGAGGGAAACAACCCAGACCGCCAGCUAAGGUCCCAAAGUCAUGGUUAAGUGGGAAACGAUGUGGGAAGGCCCAGACAGCCAGGAUGUUGGCUUAGAAGCAGCCAUCAUUUAAAGAAAGCGUAAUAGCUCACUGGUCGAGUCGGCCUGCGCGGAAGAUGUAACGGGGCUAAACCAUGCACCGAAGCUGCGGCAGCGACGCUUAUGCGUUGUUGGGUAGGGGAGCGUUCUGUAAGCCUGUGAAGGUGGCCUGUGAGGGUUGCUGGAGGUAUCAGAAGUGCGAAUGCUGACAUAAGUAACGAUAAAGCGGGUGAAAAGCCCGCUCGCCGGAAGACCAAGGGUUCCUGUCCAACGUUAAUCGGGGCAGGGUGAGUCGACCCCUAAGGCGAGGCCGAAAGGCGUAGUCGAUGGGAAACAGGUUAAUAUUCCUGUACUUGGUGUUACUGCGAAGGGGGGACGGAGAAGGCUAUGUUGGCCGGGCGACGGUUGUCCCGGUUUAAGCGUGUAGGCUGGUUUUCCAGGCAAAUCCGGAAAACCAAGGCUGAGGCGUGAUGACGAGGC